rnacentral:tRNA from 1 species
UGUCGGAGUGGUGGAACUGGCAGACGCGCAUUUGAGGGGCGUGUGGGUAACCGUACGGGUUUAAGUCCCGUCACCAACAA